CUGCAGCUCAAGUGGUGGCCGCUAUUAUUGGGCCUAAAACGUCCGUAGCCGGUUUAGUAAAUGCCUGGGUAAAUCGUGUAGCUUAACUAUACGACUUCCGGGUAGACUGUUAGACUUGGGACCGGGAGAGGCUAGAGGUACUCCUGGGGUAGAGGUGAAAUUCUGUAAUCCUAGGGGGACCACCAGUGGCGAAGGCGUCUAGCUAGAACGGGUCUGACGGUGAGGGACGAAGCCCUGGAGCGCAAACCGGAUUAGAGACCCGAGUAGUCC
rnacentral:rRNA from 1 species